UACGGGGGGGGGCUAGCGUUAUUCGGAAUCAUUGGGCGUAAAGGGCGCGUAGGCGGCGCGGUAAGUCAAAGGUGAAAUCCCUCGGCUCAACUGAGGAACUGCCUUUGAAACUGCCGUGCUUGAGUCCGGGAGGGGGUAGCGGAAUUCCCAGUGUAGCGGUGAAAUGCGUAGAUAUUGGGAGGAACACCAGUGGCGAAGGCGGCUACCUGGACCGGUACUGACGCUGAUGCGCGAAAGCGUGGGGAGCAAACAGG
rnacentral:rRNA from 1 species